GAGGGAAGAAAAAAAUAUUUUUAGACUCUAAAGAUGUCUUAUAUAAGCAAGUCUCUGCUGAUGCCAUGUAAAAAAUAACUUGUUUUUAUGACUUAGAGCCACUAACCAGGAAGUUGCUCACUGUCCGUCAGCACUUGAUCCUUCUGAAGAGCAAACUGGAGAUGGGAGAAGGAACAUUGUCCUCUGGAUGCCAGAGAAGGCCAGGAUGAUAAUAAACAUCUGGGGAAAAGUCAUUACUGGUACUAAAAAGGGUUACUCUGUUGCUGCCAGAAGAUCUGGGUAUGGGAUAGCCAAACUGAAAUCAGAUGACCAUUCUGUUAAAACCAGGAUCCCGAGAUUGGGGGUUUGUAAGACUAGGAAUUCAGAAAGAGGAAAACAUUCAUCUCUCUCUUAUAGGAAAGUCUUUAAUGGUGUUAUUUGGAAGAAAAGAGAAAGGGAGACAAAGAACCAAAUUCUUGCUUAAUCACAAGAACUAUCCUACUAAACACUCCAUAGUAAACAUACUAUAGUAUUGAUAAUAUUGGGCAAUUUGGGUAGCUGUUAAGAAAUUCUCUUCUAAGACUAAGUUUCAUGUAAAAUAAUAUACUGCAGAAGAAAAGCAACUGGAAUAUUUGCAAUAUUUCAUGAAACAGAGGGAACUUUAGGACACCCCUCCCCCCCAGAAAGAAAAUACACCAGGAAAACCUUUAUAUAAUUAAAUAUUGUAUCUAAAGUCAUGGAAAACACUUAAAUUUUGCUUUAGUUUUUUUUUCAUACUGGAGGCAGAUUAUAUAGUAGUGUACAAGUUUAUUGAAAAUAGGUGUGUGGGACAUAACUCCUUUCGAGAAUAUUAUCACAGCAAAAAGGGUAUGCCUGAAAUUUAGAAAAUCAUAUGUUGUUUAAGGAAUACUCUUGAAUAUAAAAAUAAAAAACUGAAUAUAAUACAG
rnacentral:lncRNA from 1 species